rnacentral:lncRNA from 1 species
UGAGUUUGAUUCCUGGUACCGGAAAAAAAAAAAAAAAGUUAAGGAAAUAACGUUGGCUAUAAUGCACUUCAAACACGCUUCAAAUACUAAGUAGAAGGUGGAACUACCCUGCCACCUCUCUGCCUUCCAAGAGAUCAGGGGAACAGAUUCAUAGGCUGGUUCUUGGAAGUGGUUCCCAAACAGGGACCGGACCAGGGAAGUCCACCUGGGGGAGAAAUGUAGUAAGUCAGCUACAGGGAAUUCCACAGUGGAGAGGAGUUGGCCGGCAAGAGAAAUACACAAAAAGAAAAGCAA